CAAACUCUGCUAUGACCCAGAUUUUGUAAGUCCCCCCAAGUCCCCCCCACCCCACUCCCAGUCUCCCCUACCCUACUCCCAGUCUCCCUUUUCCCUGCAGAGUUUGUGUCCAAAAUUGAUUCCUUCUGGUGAGUUCUUGGUCUUGCUGACUCUAAGAAUGAAGCCGCGGUCCUACACGGUGAGUGUUACAGUUCUUAAAGAUGGUGUAUCCGGAGUUUGUUCCUUCAGAUGUUCAGAUGUGUCCGCAGUUUCUUCCUUCCGGUGGGUUUGUGGUCUUGCUGACUUCAGGGGUGAAGCCGCAGACCUUCGCAGUGAGUGCUACAGCUCUUAAAGGUGGCGCGUCUGGAGUUGUUUAUUCCUCUUGGUGGGUUCAUGGUCUGGCUGGCUUCAGGAGUGAAGCUGCAGACCUUCAUAGUGAAUGUUAUAGCUCAUAAAGGUAGUUCAAACCCAAAGAGUGAGCAACAGCAGGAUUUAUGGUGAAGAGUGAAAGAAAAUACACUUCCACAGCCUGGAAGACAACCUGAGCAGAGUGCUGAUUGGUCCGUUUUACAGAGUGCUGAUUGGUCUGUUUUUACAGAGUGCUGAUUGGAGAAACUGAAACCAGAAUACCUGCAGGCACUCCCUGAAAUGCUGAAGCUCUACUCACAGUUUCUGGGGAAGCAGCCAUGGUUUCUUGGGGACAAGAUCACCUUUGUGGAUUUCAUCGCUUAUGAUGUCCUUGAGAGAAACCAAGUAUUUGAGCCCAGCUGCCUGGAUGCCUUCCCAAACCUGAAGGACUUCAUCUCCCGAUUUGAGGGCUUGGAGAAGAUCUCUGCCUACAUGAAGUCCAGCCGCUUCCUCCCAAGACCUGUGUUCACAAAGAUGGCUGUCUGGGGCAACAAGUAGGGCCUUGAAGGCCAGGAGGUGGGAGUGA
rnacentral:sRNA from 1 species